rnacentral:misc_RNA from 1 species
GAUGAAGAACGUAGCGGAAUGCGAUAAGUAGUGUGAAUUGCAGAAUUCAGUGAAUCAUCGAAUCUUUGAACGCACAUUGCGCCCCUUGGUAUUCCAUGGGGCAUGCCUGUUCGAGCGUCAUUUGUACCUUCAAGCUUUGCUUGGUGUUGGGUGUUUGUCUCGCCUUUGCGUGUAGACUCGCCUUAAAAUAAUUGGCAGCCGGCGUAUUGAUUUCGGAGCGCAGUACAUCUCGCGCUUUGCACUCAUAACGACAGCGUCCAAAAGUACAUUUUACACUCUUGACCUCGGAUCAGGUAGGGAUACCCGCUGAACUUAAGCAUAUCAAUAAGCGGAGGA